UUCUAUGGCCAUACCACCCUGAACGCGCCUGACCUCAGCUAAGCAGGGUUGGGCCUGGUUAGUACUUGGAUGGGAGACCACCCGGGAAUACCAGGUGCUGUAGGCA
rnacentral:rRNA from 1 species